GAUGAACGCUAGCGACAGGCCUAACACAUGCAAGUCGAGGGGCAGCACAGUGUAGCAAUACAUAGGUGGCGACCGGCGCACGGGUGAGUAACACGUAUGCAACCUGCCUUCAACAAGGGGGAUAACCCGUUGAAAGACGGACUAAUACCCUAUAACACAGGGGUCCCGCAUGGGAAUAUUUGUUAAAGGACAACCGGUUGAAGAUGGGCAUGCGUUCCAUUAGCUAGUUGGCGGGGUAACGGCCCACCAAGGCAACGAUGGAUAGGGGAACUGAGAGGUUUAUCCCCACACUGGUACUGAGACACGGACCAGACUCCUACGGGAGGCAGCAGUGAGGAAUAUUGGUCAAUGGACGCAAGUCUGAACCAGCCACGUCGCGUAAAGGAAGACGGCCCUACGGGUUGUAAACUCUUUUG
rnacentral:rRNA from 1 species